rnacentral:rRNA from 1 species
UACGUAGGUGGCAAGCGUUACCCGGAAUUAUUGGGCGUAAAGAGCGCGCAGGUGGUUGAUUAAGUCUGAUGUGAAAGCCCACGGCUUAACCGUGGAGGGUCAUUGGAAACUGGUCGACUUGAGUGCAGAAGAGGGAAGUGGAAUUCCAUGUGUAGCGGUGAAAUGCGUAGAGAUAUGGAGGAACACCAGUGGCGAAGGCGGCUUCCUGGUCUGUAACUGACACUGAGGCGCGAAAGCGUGGGGAGCAAACAGGAUUAGAUACCCCGGUAGU